GGGGCAAUCUAUUUUGUAAAGCAAGGAACAUCUGUAUUAUCUAUCCACUUCUUUUUUUUUUUUUUUUUUUUUUUUUAUGGAUUUGGGAAUAGUCUGUUUCUCCAUUUAGAACUGGGCUGGAGACUUGAGCAAAGAUUGGAUCAUUUCCUGUUCUCGGAAAAAACGCUUUCUCCCACUCUGGCAUUCAGAGACCAUUUCCCGGCAAUGUUAAGCAUGUGAUUACUUAAUGAGACACUUAAAGCAGUUUUGAGAAGUAUAAAAACGUCGUGGUCUGGGCUUCCUACUCCUGAUGUUACAUAAGUAACACCAAGAAUUCAACUCAAUCCUGCCCCCACAUAUUAGGUCUCUCCUGUGUGCCUGGCUCUGUGUUAGGUGCUAGGAGUAGACAGGGAGAUAAAAGUCCACUUAGAGCAAACAGAAGGCAGAAAGCAGGAUAAAAGGAUGUCCAAGGCCGGGCGCAGUGGUCCUCGUCUGUCACGCAAACACCUUGGGAGGCCAAGGCAGGUGGGUCACUUGAAACCAGGAGCUCGAGACUAGCCUGGACGACAUGGUGAAACCCCAUCUCCACAAAAAAUACAAAAAUUAGCCAGACAUGGUGGCAUGCCUGUAGUCCUCCCAAAAAAGGACGUCUAUGUGUAAGGUGAGGCGACAGAGAUGCGCUUUCCCAAGUAGCAUCAAUACGAAGACAGAUCCCUAUGUUCCGAUUAAGUCUCAGGUGGGCUGGCAGGAGAAACAUCUCACAGAGGAAAGAGCCCUGGAGCUCCGUCUUAAAGGGCGUGAAGGGUUUCUACCAUGGAGAAGUUGCGGGAAGCUCGUUGAAGCACAGGGAGCAGCACGAGGAGUCUGGGAAACAGCAGCAGAGGAAGGGUGAUCUGUUGGAAUAUUUCCUGGUGCCUUUCUUGAGACUCCCCUGUGGCCGCCUUUCUCCCAGGGCCCCAGCCACCAGCCACAUGGGACAUCGACUACUCCUUCCCUCCAAUCUCUGCUUUCGCCAGUGUAUUAUCUGCUCCCUAGGGCUGCCAUAACAAAGCACCACAAACUGGGUGGCUUGAAACAAGAAUUUGUUCUCUCACCAUUCUGGAGGCUGGAAGUCCAAAAUCAAGGUGUUGGCAGGGCCCAGCUCC
rnacentral:lncRNA from 1 species